AGUCUGUCCCAUAGAUGUUGGAAGCAAAGCACGAGUAACGCCCCGUGUCCUCCUCAAAAGCUUCAACAAUGAUCAGAGAGUGUCGGUCACCUGUCUGGAUAAUUUGAAUGUCAGGUCUCCAACUGAGCCAGAGGUGUGAACAUCUCCCUGGAGCUGACACACCAAUGGACUGUUUCCCUGGGAUUCAGUUUUCUCCUUCUUUAGAACAUACAUCCCCAAAACUUAUAAUAAGGAUAUUCAUAGCCAUAAUAAAUACCAACUGAAUACAUUGUCAGAGUGGCUGGUACAAAGAAUGGCAGUAUCUGCUUAACUAAAUCUUAAGGAAAAGGAAAUACUGCUAUAUUGCUACAGUGAAAGCCAUAUUAUAUACUUUAUAUUUUGAUUAUUUGGACUUCUUGUUGUGUUACUUGUAGAAAAGUUUAAUUUUUUUCUCCUGCUAGCUAUUUCUGUGGUUGAUAUUAAGUAGAUAUGACAUCUGCAGUGUCUGCCUUUGUUAACCGUUUACUGUUGCAACAGGAACAUGAAUGUUUUUGAGUUGGGGUUGAGAUUAAAACAACAUGUUGUGAAUUGUAUUUUUAAAAGUGGAUUAAGAGCCAGUCCAGGGAGGCAUAUUUUGUAACUACAGUCUCUAUUUCCAACUACACAUUUGUCAAACAGAGAUUUACAGUUCACUCCUUAUUCUUAUCACUUAAAUGGCUUCAUACAUCUAGAAAAGAGAGCAGAAUUUAACACAAGCUCCUUGCAAAGAAAUUCCCAAACCCUGAAAGAACAGGGAACAUUUACUGAGAGUCUAUUUGCAAGUGGUUUUAACAUAAAAGAACAAAACAAAGUGUGGCUAUUAUUUGUGGAAACCUGACUAAUGUGAGUUGUAUCGUAGUGAGGAAGAUAAGC